CGCGAACCAUGGGCACCUGACAGGCUGAUCCCACGUUCUAGAAAACCUGAGGGUCGUGCGCCCCUUCAUUUCGUCUGUUCAUCUUCUCUCUCUAGGGUUUCUCUCUCUUCUCCAUCCGUUCUCGCAGCCAUCGCCGAAAUUGCUUGCAUCACCCACUAUUGUUGUGCGCCUUUGGAUCCCAGCGCGGAAUCAGUGGGGUAUGAAGCGAAGAUUAGACCCAGUUCAUCGUCACGAGCAGCCGGAAUCCGGAGGGGAGAGUGUUGGAAUCGCAGAUCAGAUGCAUCAGGGGUUGGCUUCGAAUCCAGUGGUGCAGGCUCAGAAUCAGCGUCGUUUCCAUUGCCCAGCAAAAUUAAAGAGUUGGGGCCUGGGGGGCGCAGGGGGUGGAGAGCUGGCAGUGAUUCUGGUGAUUUUUGUUCCUAUCGUCUCCAGAUCGAGGGAACUGUGAGGACCAGGGGCAACGAAUCAGUGCCCAGCCUGUGCUCCUUGGGGGCAGCCGCAAUACCGGGGUAAUGCAUUUUCAGAGGUAAACCCCAUGCCCAACCAACAAGAUGCGAUUUCCCCCAGGUCUUUCUGCCGUGUGGGUGUUGUCUAGUCCUCCUGCGCGAUUCAAGCCGAUUCGAUUUCUGUGUGCAGCAUGUAUUUUAGCCCCCACCUACUGGCUGCAGUAGUAUUUUGGUAGAGAUUGGCGUGGUGGGAGUGCGUGUAGUGCUGGUAAAGAUUGCUACAUAUAUUGUUGUUCUGCAGGGAAGUCAAAUCGAUGCAAGCCAUUAAUUGUUGGUUUUCUGUCCUUGUGCAAUAGCUGCUCCAGAUCGAUACAAAUAUUAUACUGUGCUUAGCUCGUGUAGUUUUACCUUUGUAUGUAUCAAUUUUUACUUGAGUGCUCAUGUGCUUUUACCCCAUGGCUCUAUAACUUUUUUCUCCCAUCCAACAGCAAGUGCUUAUGUGAUUUUACUUAAUGACAGGGAGCUGUAGCACAUGUCUUCUAGCUUUUGCAUUCUCUCUCAUGUAGGAAAAUUAAUUUGAGAUAGCUGAUCAUUUUCCAUAAUCAUUGCCUUUGCCUUUUUUUAUGCUUUUUGUGUGGCCAGAUUUGUGUUUUAUCCGUGUUUUUCAGUGUUCCUCUCUGGAAUGCUGUGAUAUGGAUUGGUCUUUAGACACAGUAACAACAAGAUCACCACUAGAGAUGGGCUUAAGUUGUAAAUCUAUAUUUCUACCAUUUUUAAAUCCGAUCAUUUUUAGACUCCUGUUAUGCAUUGGUGGUCCAGAAUAGAACCUAAUCAUUUUGCAGGGGCUUGACUAUGCAAGUGCAGAACUACAUGGUGGUUGCUUGCGACCCACAAACUUUUCUACUGGCAUUGUUAGAAGCAUUUAAUACAUUUUAGUAGGUAUUUAAAUACUAUUCAGAUAGCAUUUUUAGUGUUCAGUUCAAGCAAUUUUUUUAACAUUUUAUAUGUCUCAUGUGAUGGCCGAUAGACUCUCCUUUUGUUCGGAACCAAGUCUUUUACAUCAUUACAAUCUAAAGUUUCCUUCUCGUGGUGUUUGUUUCUUUGCUCUACACCCUAUGGGGAAAUAGCUAAAUUCAGGCAUGUGCAUCUAAAAAUAGCUAAAUUCAGAUAUGGUGUGAUGCUACAUCUAUUUAGUGUCAUGUGUAAUCACUGUCAUUGAAUGAUUUAUAUGUUUAAUACAAUCUGAAAUUGUUACAUUUAUCUGGCAUACUGUUUUUUAUCCUUUUUUGGAAUAUUACAUACAAUGCAUUAAUUUGGGGAAAUUGCAGUUAUUCUUCUCCCAGAUUAAAGAUACUAUGGGGAUACAUGUCAAAAAAGUGGAGUCCAUUUCUCCACCACGUUCGGUUUGACCUUCCUACUUAUGUAUGUUGUGUCACCUUGUAGGCAACAUAUACUGAAUCGACAAGUAAUAUAUUUAUUAUAAUUUAGCAUUUUUGUUCUUCUAAUUUAGCAUUUUUUAUGUUCUGAUGAUAAAUAUUUUCAGGGAAUUUGAUUUAUUUUGCUCUCUCACUUGUCCUACAUUGCUUUUGAGUCCACUAUUUCUUUUUUUUGAAAUAGUACUUGCAAACAGUGUUCCGAUAUUAAUUAAGAAGUUGAUCUCUCAUCUCAUGCUGCCAUGCCGCGCGGUGCUUGCAAGGGGUUAAUCCAUCCUCUUGUUGCAGGGUACACUCAGGAUUUGACCAGGACACCAACAUUUAGGUGGGUGAUUUGGGCAUUUUCGAUUCAGUUGCUCUUCGUUUGUUCAGGGGUUUAAUCUGGGGUGGGUGGGUGGUGUAUUCAUAUUGGUGUUGAUUUGGGUUUCAUGAACGAAGCUUCAGUUUGGUUACUGAAUGCGAAAUUGUUAUCUUGUUCUUCAUAUCAUCAUAACCAUUUCAGUACUUUGCAAUAGGUAUUUUUGUCAAAUAGUAGAAGCAUUUUCGGUACUUUCCUAGGCAUUUCAUUACUUUUCAGUAGGCAAAUACAUCAAUUAUGAGACACGUUUCAGUACUUUCUAGUAGGCAAAUACAUCAAAUACUAGAAGCAUUUUCAGAACUAGGCAAUAAUAUUGGUAGGAAUUGGGCAAUAAUAUUGGUAGGAAAUGGGCAAUAAUAUUUGUUCUUGAUAGGCAAUAACAUGGGUUACAAUUGGUAUUUUUCUGCCAAAGGUUACAUGUGGCUUCUACAUGAUGCAGCUGUUGAAGCCGAUGAAUCAUCAUGUGGAAACUGCUAUCGCUUAAAGUAUUGCAGUAUAGAUAGUUGAUGCACCUGUAGGAGCUGCAUCACCAUAAAUUAUUAGAUGCUAAAUCUAAUGUUUUCAUCAGGCAAGAAUAAUAUACUUUGUGUCUUGUAGUGUCGAUCUAAUGUUUUAUGUAGGCAACAUACUGCAAAGUCUUUAACCCCUACUACUUUAAUUUCCUCUAAUUAUGUUCUUUUUUAAAAGCAUUGCAGGUCGUGGCGUGGUUAGGAAAGGAAGCAAAUAGUCAUUUCCUCUAAUGUUAUUUGCUUGUAUAUUUAAUCUAAUUUUGCUUCAAAUCAAUCUGUGUUAUUUGCUUGUACAUUUUUUCUAAAUUACUUCGGAGUUUAUUAUAAUAUGCUUCUAAUUUUUAAUAGAAGUGAUUUUGGAACUUUAUGAGAAAAAUAUGAUCGAAAUAUAUUGAAGUGA